rnacentral:tRNA from 1 species
GGAGAGUUGGCAGAGCGGUUGAAUGCGGCAGUCUUGAAAACUGUUGUGGGUGUAAACCCACCGUGGGUUCGAAUCCCUCACUCUCCG